CAAGCACUAGUGCUCUGCUUUCUUCUUACUUUGUGUUCUAAUUUGCUUUCUUCUUAUUUUCAGUUUGCAAGAUACAAAAAGAAGUUAAAAAAUGUUGUGCCUGGAGUUCAUAUUAUUUGCUACCCCAUGAUGUACGUCUAUAGUUUCUCCCUCCAAAUGUGUUGGUCCAUGUGGUUGUAUUUUUUGUUUUGGAUCUAUGAAAAAGGUUAUUGAAGCUCAAAUGUGAUAAGCACAUAAGUUCAGAUCUCCGCUGCUACAAUGCUCACGUAUACCUCUGUUUGUUUUAAUCGUGGCAUACAAAUUUUGCACUACGAGAAAGUUCAGAGGCAAGAGCGUAGAAAAUAAAGAACACAACAAAUAUUAACAAAAAAUUCACUAGGAGAAAAGUUCAAGUCAGGAUAUGCAAGAAAAGUUAAUAUUUUAUUUCAGUUCAAUUUCAAAUUCUAGUGAAGUUUCAUUUCUUAUUUUAAUUUAGUCUAGUUUUUAUUUUAGUUUAGUUCAAUAUCUAAUUUUUGUUCAGUUCAAUUCUUAUUUUAGAAACAAAUUGAAUUGUUUCUUUAUCUACAUUCUUCUAUUCAACGUCAGGGAGAAGGUGCCUCAUGGUAAAAGCGUGCCAAGAUUUUCUAAGAACCCCAGACCCAUCCUGGCGCCGCCCGGCCCCCAACCUCCAACCUCCUCGGAUCCAGGCGCCACCCUGCCCCUACCUCCUCCCUGGAUCCCGGCGCCGCAUGCUCGCAUCUCCCCGGAUCCCCAUGACGCCUAGUCCCCAACCUCUCCGGCUCCCGGCGCCGCCAACCGCCAUCCUCUGCCAGUUCCUGUAGCCGCCUCCACCUUUUUCCUCCUGCGGGUCGAACGGUGCGAAUCUGGCCGACGUGGUGGGGCUGUGAGACUCACUCGGGUGGAGCUCCUCCGCCUCUAGCCGUUGAUCCAUAGUUCAUUGUCAGUACAGGUUCUGAAAGUUCCUAGUACAUGUAGGGGGGCAUUUCUGGAAUCACGUAUCCUUGCUAGCUUGCAGCUAAAAUUUUGAUUGCAUAGCAGUACAGUUUGGUUGUCUCUGAAGUUUUGAUUUACAGCAGUACAAUAUAGUCCUAGCUGCCAUGAUUCUGCAAACCAUUAUGCUCUCAAAAGAUGGUGCUUUGUUGCAACAAGUUGUGGAAAAAAUGAAGUGAAAAAAUAAAAUGUGCUCCCACAAGUUCAUAUGAUAUAUUGUUGUUAAUUCAAUUUCUUUUAUAUACCUCUACACAUGUUUGUUGAAAUGCUGAAGAGGAGCUAGACAUGUUUUUUGUUCAUAUUUCUGUUUCUUAAAACAACUGAUGUACUACUAUCAAAAUGGAACUGACAAUGUUACUAAACUUGUGUUCUCACUGAUUCUAAACUGUUGAUGUAGCAUUUGUGAUGCUCGUCUGAUUUUGGUUGGAAGUUUAAUGAAUCCAUACAUAGUUCAACUUUUAGGAAGUUAAAAGUUCAACGAGUGUCUUAGAGAAAACUUGGAAGUUUUGUCUAUAUAAAAAAGAUAACAAAAAUAUAUGUGUUAUGACCUAAGAUGUUCAGGAAAGAGUUCCAGAAUAUCCCCGGUCGCCGCGUCCCUGGGAAGCCAUGCGACAGCCACUACCACUGCGAGCUGCCGGUGCAGCAUCCCACCAGCCCCCAUGUGCCUCCAUACCUCAAGCUCCCAGAUGCGUCGUCGUGAACCCUUUGUUCCCCAUCGCUGCCUCCUCCAACUCCUUUCAUGGCUUUGGAAAAUCACUUAUCAGUUCAGGUCACCCGUGGAGUUUUAGAUACAUGCAAAAUCAUAUUAGAGCACCAUGCUCUCAGCCAAAGGUUUGAAAAACCAUUGCUUUUAGUUCUGGUAACAUAUGUUUUUGUUUCAGUUUUGCUAAUUCUUUCUCCUAUGGGCCGUUAUAUAUAUAUAUUAUCUUUCACUUGUCUUACUAUAUGAAAAAAUAUGUGGCCUUUAGCGAGCAAUCUUGCUUAGUUUUCUGGUUAAAAAACAAACAACAUGGAUUUACCAUGUUCUAUUAAAAGAAAGCUGGAGUUCAAAUUCUAAUUUUAGUUCAGUGAAGAUCAAUGGGAAAAUGCACAAGAAGUUCAGAUUCUUCUUUCCUAAAGUGUUUGUUUUGGUAUGUCUAGCCCAAACAAUCAUCAAAUUUUUAAAAAACUUCUCUGUUGUCAAAUAAAAGCUACAGUAAUUAUUAUGGACAUGUUCAUUACAAACUUAUGUAAUGGUGCAGUACACCUAUUUAAUUUUUUUAUAUAUUUACAAAACAAAAAUUAUAAUUCUCAGAAACCUACAAAAAAACAUCAAUUUAUAUUGAUAGUUGUUCUAGUCCUUAUGUUACAACAGUGCAAUGAAAAAAUCUCAUCAGUUCAACAACAUGGACAUGCUAAUGCUGUAGCGAGUCCAUGCUAAUGCUGUAGUGAUCUCGUGCGCGGCCACAAGGAUGUCGGCUGCAAUGAUGCCAAAGUGACGAGCUAUCUACAUUCUGCCUGGCUGUUGUCCAUCUAUAUCUAUGUCCGUGGUGCGUCGCCAGCGGCAUCGUCCCUGACCAGGGCACCAUGCUGAGGCACUUGCUACUACUAAUGCACAUUGCAUUUGACGCAUAAAGAUGGAAAAUGCAGGAAGCCGCAUGUUUAUGUGGAGCUAAUGCACACCAUUUUUUUGCUGAAAAAUACCAUGGUUAAAAUGAAGGUAAGCUUGUGCAUGUAUUUGUCUGAGGUGGUUGGUUCUGGAAAGGGAGAUUCGCACAAGUAUAUUUAAAGAUAUGAUUUAUUAAAAAGUUUUAGCUCUUUCCUUGGUUUAUGGUCAGCUCAUGCAUCGAGUUUCCAUCCAAUCCAUGGGAUGACCUCUACUUGCACGUACUUGCUGCUAAAAUGUUGUGUUGUUAAACUUGUUAUGAAGCCACUGUUAUUCUUCAGCUGCGACCUAUGGGAGUUUCUUCAUCUGUGCUUCAACAAAAAAGAACAGUAGCUGUCCAUGCAUCUGCCAUAUCUCUUUCCUCUCUACUACUCUUUUCUCUUACUAAUUUGUUUCUCUCUAAACUGCGGCACGGGGGAGGUUGGACUACAGACAGCCCCCGCCGCCCCAUGCAUUACUUCCUCCGGUCCCUGUCCAGGUAUGGGGUUCACACCGGUCCAACUCUUUCUCCCUUCUCCGUCCAGUUGUUGUAUGCUACUCCAAAUGCCAAUGAUCAUGCAAAACAGUUGUUGCUACGGUCUAGAUGAUGUGUAGUGUAGAUGCCAUAGUUUCACCCUAUUUUUAUGGUUCUAAUUAUUGCUGCAUAACUCUUUAAAAGAAUGUUUUGGGAAUGUUUGUGAUGAUGGCUUGUAGGUAUUCAUGUGAACUUUAAAAUAAUGACUGUUCUUGUAGGAUGUUCAAAGAUUGUCGUGGAGCAAGUUCAAGAGAUUAGUUUCGUGAAAAUAAUGUGAUCUUUUGGUCAGGAUUUUGCAUGAUCCAUAGCCAUCAAUGGCAACAGGCGAGCAGUUCAAGGCCUCCUGCGUGAGCUUGUUGUCUCAACACAUCUAUCAUCGGAGUAUCUGCAUCCCCUUGUCGCACACACAUGCCCGGUGGUCGAGAUAGUGUUGUUUGUGAUUACUGGUCGUGACUCUUACGUUGUCAUUGGACAAAGAAUUUAUUCUGUAACUCUGUAUUGGCAGGAUCUUCAGUAAAUAUAUGUUCUUAGUAUUCUAAUA